CCCUUAGACGUUCUGGGCCGCACGCGCGCUACACUGACCAGUGCAACAAGCAUCCGUCCUUGGCCGACAGGCCCGGGCAAUCUUUGAACGCUGGUCGUGAUGGGGAUAGACUUUUGCAAUUUUUGGUCUUCAACGAGGAAUUCCUAGUAAACGCAAGUCAUCAACUUGCAUUGAUUACGUCCCUGCCCUUUGUACACACCGCCCGUCGCACCUACCGAUUGAAUGGUCCGGUGAAGCCUCCGGAUUGGCGCGCACCUCGGUGCCGCCGAGAAGUUGGCUAAACCUUACCAUUUAGAGGAAGGUGAAGUCGUAAC
rnacentral:rRNA from 1 species